GAUGAACGCUGGCGGCAUGCCUAAUACAUGCAAGUCGAGCGAACGGACGAGAAGCUUGCUUCUCUGAUGUUAGCGGCGGACGGGUGAGUAACACGUGGAUAACCUACCUAUAAGACUGGGAUAACUUCGGGAAACCGGAGCUAAUACCGGAUAAUAUUUUGAACCGCAUGGUUCAAAAGUGAAAGACGGUCUUGCUGUCACUUAUAGAUGGAUCCGCGCUGCAUUAGCUAGUUGGUAAGGUAACGGCUUACCAAGGCAACGAUGCAUAGCCGACCUGAGAGGGUGAUCGGCCACACUGGAACUGAGACACGGUCCAGACUCCUACGGGAGGCAGCAGUAGGGAAUCUUCCGCAAUGGGCGAAAGCCUGACGGAGCAACGCCGCGUGAGUGAUGAAGGUCUUCGGAUCGUAAAACUCUGUUAUUAGGGAAGAACAUAUGAGUAAGUAACUGUGCACAUCUUGACGGUACCUAAUCAGAAAGCCACGGCUAACUACGUG
rnacentral:rRNA from 1 species